AAAAAACCUAGACGUUUCUUUGGUUUUUAAUCGAUUUCAUAUGGAAUCAAUGUUUUGUCUUCACGAAAGCGUUUGAACAUUUAUUACGAGAUUCAUCGUAACAUAAAAAUAUCGGUGGUCGUGAUGUUUGUUUUACAAGCGUUUAAAGUUCCGGUUUCGACAAAAAUCACGGCGGGCGAUACCUAUUAAACAUGUUCAACCGAACUUCGCCCAGAAUCGUUUUAUCGUCAACAAUGGUUUAUCGUUGCGUACAGAUAUAAAUUGAAUUACUCCGAAUGUCAUAUCCUACCUUCCAAACUUAUUUUCACGUAUUCAAAUUAUUAUCAAGGACAUUUUUUUAUUUUUUUAUUUUUAAAACACCCUCCGUCCGUUCUUCCCUGGUCGCACCACCGGUACCGGUUAAUAUCCGAAAAAUUACCGAACGUAAACAAUGUACCCGUUACCUGCACCGGUUUACACCAGAGCACAUUUCGAUUAUUCGGUAAUCUAUCUACAGAAAGAUAUAACAAUCAAUCAAUAGGCAUACAAAUAAUAUCUCAAGAAAGAACCUACGACUACCUACGCGAUAUAGGCACCUAGAUAAUAAUUUUAUAAUAGGCCAUAAUAGAGUUCGUGCUAUUAUAUCAAAUUGGUGUAUUUCAGAGAUGCGCGUUUCGCUGUCGUAUUAUUAUAUUGCAGUGUAGAUUUUAGCAGUGGGUACGCUCCUAAGAGUAUUUAGCUUUCGGCUAUACUACAAACCAUUCGUAAUCACUUGGGUAGGCGCCUUGAUAAGCCGUUAGCCUCAAUGCCGAGUGCGGAACGCCUGCGCAUAAUGUAUUUUCUGAAACCUAUGCAAAUUGAGUACGGUAAAUUGUAUUGCAAAGUCGAUAACUCGCAUGUGUAGAUACGCAAUUACGUCUACGUAUCUAAUCCGAGUUAAUUCAAUAGGUUAGAGGUCAAUCCCGAAUCGUGU